rnacentral:lncRNA from 1 species
UGUAAAUUCACGUCAUAUAAUUUUGAGGCAUCAAGUCUUCUAUUCUUUUCCUUUACUUUCUUUUGAACUACUCUCCCUCUUCAUCUAUCUUUAGGUAAGUCUUCUCUACAUAUUGUCUUUCCUUGAACUAUUCUCAUCACUUUUAAACUACAAACUUCCAAAGUAAGCAAGCAUGUUGAGAACGUUUAGAUCUACCUAAAUUUUUUUAUUAGAUAACUAUUAUUUUCUAAUAAUUAUUCUUUUUAGAGGUAGAUUCUAACAUUGUUGGCUUUUAUAAAGAGUGUAAAUUUGAUCUUUUUAUUGUUAGUUACAAACAUCACAAUUGCCUUAUUUAAGUAGAAGAAGAUAAUAAUAUUAACAAGAUAUUUUUAAAAUCACUUAAAAAAAACUCAAAUUAGAUUAUAUAUAUAUAUAUAUAUAUAUAUAUUCAUUUC